CGCCCUCCGUUACAGGGGGCCACGCUCCCCAGGCAGCCAAAGGAGCAGCAAGGCAAAAGGCCAACUACAGCAAAGACCCGAGCCCCGCUUACGGGGAGGUCGCCCAGCACAACGCCAGCCUGGUCACCAAAGGCGCCGGCAGCUCUCAACUCAAACGUGACUGUGCCCCUGCUAACGGGACAGGUGCUUUGCCCAGGGAGCCUCUCUCCUUCCCCCCCACAUCUGCACGCUUCCGCUUCCUCUUCUUGCUUGCUCCUGCCUCCCAGCACAACGCCAGCCUGGUCACCAAAGGCGCCGGCAGCUCUCAACUCAAACGUGACUGUGCCCCUGCUAACGGGACAGGUGCUUUGCCCAGGGAGCCUCUCUCCUUCCCCCCCACAUCUGCACGCUUCCGCUUCCUCUUCUUGCUUGCUCCUGCCUCCCAGGUCCCCACGCCGCUGCUUCUUCUUCUUCCUUCAGCAGCAGC
ensembl:lncRNA